GAUGAACGCUGGCGGCGUGCCUAAUACAUGCAAGUCGAGCGAACGGACGAGGAGCUUGCUCCUCUGAUGUUAGCGGCGGACGGGUGAGUAACACGUGGAUAACCUACCUAUAAGACUGGGAUAACUUCGGGAAACCGGAGCUAAUACCGGAUAAUAUAUUGAACCGCAUGGUUCAAUAGUGAAAGACGGUUUUGCUGUCACUUAUAGAUGGAUCCGCGCCGCAUUAGCUAGUUGGUAAGGUAACGGCUUACCAAGGCAACGAUGCAUAGCCGACCUGAGAGGGUGAUCGGCCACACUGGAACUGAGACACGGUCCAGACUCCUACGGGAGGCAGCAGUAGGGAAUCUUCCGCAAUGGGCGAAAGCCUGACGGAGCAACGCCGCGUGAGUGAUGAAGGUCUUCGGAUCGUAAAACUCUGUUAUUAGGGAAGAACAUAUGUGUAAGUAACUAUGCACGUCUUGACGGUACCUAAUCAGAAAGCCACGGCUAACUACGUG
rnacentral:rRNA from 1 species